UAGGGAAUCUUCCGCAAUGGGCGAAAGCCUGACGGAGCAACGCCGCGUGAGUGAUGAAGGUCUUCGGAUCGUAAAACUCUGCUAUUAGGGAAGAACAAAUGUGUAAGUAACUAUGCACGUCUUGACGGUACCUAAUCAGAAAGCCACGGCUAACUACGUGCCAGCAGCCGCGGUAAUACGUAGGUGGCAAGCGUUAUCCGGAAUUAUUGGGCGUAAAGCGCGCGUAGGCGGUUUUUUAAGUCUGAUGUGAAAGCCCACGGCUCAACCGUGGAGGGUCAUUGGAAACUGGAAAACUUGAGUGCAGAAGAGGAAAGUGGAAUUCCAUGUGUAGCGGUGAAAUGCGCAGAGAUAUGGAGGAACACCAGUGGCGAAGGCGACUUUCUGGUCUGUAACUGACGCUGAUGUGCGAAAGCGUGGGGAUCAAACAGGAUUAGAUACCCUGGUAGUCCACGCCGUAAACGAUGAGUGCUAAGUGUUAGGGGGUUUCCGCCCCUUAGUGCUGCAGCUAACGCAUUAAGCACUCCGCCUGGGGAGUACGACCGCAAGGUUG
rnacentral:rRNA from 1 species